CGGCGGACGGGUGAGUAACACGUGGAUAACCUACCUAUAAGACUGGGAUAACUUCGGAAACCGGAGCUAAUACCGAAUAAUAUAUUGAACCGCAUGGUUCAAUAGUGAAAGACGGUUUUGCUGUCACUUAUAGAUGGAUCCGCGCCGCAUUAGCUAGUUGGUAGGGUAACGGCUUACCAAGGCGACGAUGCGUAGCCGACCUGAGAGGGUGAUCGGCCACACUGGAACUGAGACACGGUCCAG
rnacentral:rRNA from 1 species